AUACGGGGGGGGCAAGCGUUGUUCGGAAUUACUGUGCGUAAAGGGCGCGCAGGCGGUCUGAGAAGUUCUGGGUGAAAGCCCUCGGCUUAACCGAGGAAGGUCCUGGGAAACCAUCAGGCUAGAGUGCUGGAGAGGGAAGUGGAAUUCCCGGUGUAGCGGUGAAAUGCGUAGAUAUCAGGAGGAACACCAGAGGCGAAGGCGACUUCCUGGACAGACACUGACGCUCAGGCGCGAAAGCCAGGGGAGCAAACGGGAUUAGAUACCCCAGUAGUCC
rnacentral:rRNA from 1 species